rnacentral:misc_RNA from 1 species
AACUUUCGACAAUGGAUCACUUGGCUUUCGCAUCGAUGAAGAACGCAGCGAACGUGCGAAACGUAAUGUGAAUUGCAGAAUUCAGUGAAUCAUCGAAUCUUUGAACGCAUCUUGCGCUCCUUGGUAUUCCGAGGAGCAUGCCUGUUUGAGUGUCGUGAAUAACUCUCAGUUUUAAAUAUUUUUUAUUAUUUUUAAAGGAUAUUUGACAUUGGAUUUGGAUGGUUGUCGUGAUUCGUCACGACUCAUCCUAAAUGCAUUAGCGAUCUGCCCCGAUCACACACAAUGUGAUAAGUAAAAAAUAAAGCAUUGUUAUGGUUGGGUCAAAGAUGGCUUCUAACUGUCGUAAUGACAAAUAAAGACCAUGUCGUUUGACCUCAAAUCAGGCAGGACUACCCGCUGAACUUAAGCAUAUCAAUAAGCGGAGGCU